rnacentral:rRNA from 1 species
UACGUAGGGGGCAAGCGUUGUCCGGAAUCAUUGGGCGUAAAGCGCGUGUAGGCGGCCAGAUAGGUCUGCUGUGAAAACUCGAGGCUCAACCUCGAGCUGUCGGCGGAAACCAUCUGGCUAGAGUCCGGAAGAGGAGAGUGGAAUUCCUGGUGUAGCGGUGAAAUGCGCAGAUAUCAGGAAGAACACCUAUGGCGAAGGCAGCUCUCUGGGACGGUACUGACGCUGAGACGCGAAAGCGUGGGGAGCGAACAGG